rnacentral:tRNA from 1 species
GAGGGUAUAGCUCAGUAGUAGAGUGUGUGAUUAGCACGCAUGAGGCCCUGGUUCAAUCCCUAGCACCUCCA